rnacentral:rRNA from 1 species
UACGUAGGGACCAAGCGUUGUUCGGAUUUACUGGGCGUAAAGGGCGCGUAGGCGGCCACGCACGUCCGUUGUGAAAUCGCCCGGCUCAACUGGGCGGGGUCAGCGGAUACGGUGUGGCUCGAGCAAGCUAGGGGGCAAUGGAAUUCCCGGUGUAGUGGUGGAAUGCGUAGAUAUCGGGAGGAACACCAGUGGCGAAGGCGGUUGCCUGGAGCUUUGCUGACGCUGAGGCGCGAAAGCGUGGGGAGCGAGUCCGG